CUGACGUGGGGCUCGAACCCACGAACCGUGAGAUCACGACCUGAGCCGAAGUCGGACGCUCAACGGACUGAGCCAUCCAGGCACCCCACGAUCUGUGUGCUUUAACUCAAGGAAGGCGGCCUCCAGCAUAGUUUCCUAGUUACUGCUUGGAUAAAUGGGGCACCGAUAGGCCUAUCUAGAACCUUCCACACUAUGGCAAAAAAGCCGCUCAACUCACUCCCCCAUGUUUACUGUCCACUUCCUGUGGACGGCUUCCCUCAGCUUCGAGCCUGGAUCCAGUGCCCAGCAUGUGAAGACGCCUCCUCACCUGUGCUGAGCUGGGCCAGUGAGAGAACGACAGGGGUCUGAGCAGACCGUGCUGCCUCGCGCAAGCCUCUGCCGUUCUCACCACCUCUGCACCUGCUCUCCUGACCCCUUAGGACCACAUCCUCCGGGGGGCAGAGAGGGGCUCCGGCCGGGGCACGAGUCCCACCUCCCACCACCUCCGGUCCAAAGGUGCAUCACCUUUGCAGAGGAGAAAGCCGAGGCACCGUGAGGUUUGGUGACCUGCCCCAGUGACGCGCCCCCAGGUAAGCGAUGGGGGCUUUGUCUCCAGACGGUCUGGCCCUGCACAGCGUCACCUUCACAAAGAGAGGCCCGUCCUGCCCACCAUCCACUGUCGUGAGAGGACAACGGACGGACGGGGAAGGAGGAGGCAACGGAGGUCCGGCCACCCACCUGGCUGCUGGGACCCGGCCUUUCAUACUCGGAGCCUCCUGGUCCCCGCCCUGAGGGGCGGCAGAAACACAGCUGGACUGAAGCUGUCACCGGCCCCGUAAGUGAAUGUCCCCCAGCCCAUCCAGAAACAGCCACGCCUGUUUAAUACACUGCGACGAAAGCUCGGGAAGUGUGUUUAGUAACGGAUCAGACGAUUCCCUCCAAAGUAGGGAAAAUAAUAUUAAAGUGGAGAGGCUUUCUUAUUAAGGGAGCCUACCUCACCUGCCCGGCUUGAAACCGUGCCCCUGUUGUCUCUGGAACAAAACCACACUCACGUCGGGGUUCCCGGCUUCCACAUUUCAGGGGCUGGGGGCACGGACAGCCUGAUGGAGUUUGGGGAAAUUACCCGCUUCCUGCGAGUUUUCCUUUACCCCAGACCCCAUAAACGGAUGGAUGCUGCAGGUGUUUGUGUUAACCAGACCAUCUGAGACCUGAAGACACACGGGCAGGUCUGGGUUUCACUGUCAUGAGCCUUUUUUGCAGACUCCUCUGAGGAGGGGCACAGCCGCUCCCGGGUGAAGCAGGGGCUGGGGGUCUCUGAACCCCAAGAUGGCGUGGCCCCCGAGUAGCGGCUGUUACUCGCCCGCGGCCCCCGUGUGGUCUGUGCUCUACAGGAAACGAGCACUCGUGAGCAUCUCUCCCAGCCGUCCUGCUUCUGGGGUCACAUUCACCCAGCCUCCAACGACCUGGCCUCAAAAACAGCCCUCCUGACAUUGGCCUCAUCCACAGCUGCUGCAAAAUUGAAGUUGAAACGAAAGGGGAAGGACACCUGCAGGGCUGGGGGCCGGGGAGCCUUUGAAGUGUGGGUGCCGAGCGCUUUGCCACCUUUCAGGUGGCAAAUGGAUUUUCCUUCAGAGAAAAUCAAAUCCUUUGAGAGGGUGCCUGACCGGAGAAGUUGGGGACCGAGGUGUGGGCCGCCGUUCCAGACGGGAACCAGCUCCCCGGGUAGUGACGCUCGGCCGAGGAAGCACUACCCAGCCCUGCCCGCCUCUGCUGACCCCCUCCCCCAUGACCGUCCCCACACCGAGUGGAUGGCUUUGCUGCAGAGCUGGCUAAAUGCACCCUCCUUGCAGCGUCCAAAUCGGAACGUGGCCUAUAGAUGCAGUGUUUGCCCGGGUCCCGGAGGCGCCCCACAGGGUCUCCGUGGCACCUGGAGGCUGCGUGUCCGGCAGGCUUUUCCCAUACAGCCGGCCCCGUUCCGAUGACCCCCCGGGAGCGGGGCAUCCUGAGGGCAGGCCCGCCCUCGGUCACGUGUCACGAGUGGCCGGACGAGGGGUAGAGAAACACCCACAGCCGUGGGGUGAGAGCACCCGAUCUGUGUUAUCACCUGUGCCAGCCACGCGUGGGUCUCUUUUCCCCUGGUGGCCCCUGGGGCGGACCCAGGAUGAGCCGGUGUCCCCGCUCCUCCCCGGGAGCACCUGCGGCCUCAGCUGCAGACUCUCAGCAACCCCCCCCACCACCUUGGCGUCCGCACUUCCUGAAGGGCCCGAAGAGCCUGAAGGGCUGCGGGGAGGCUGCGUUCUGCAGUAACCCUGGAGCGUCUGACUUCAUCUGACUCUCAGGACUCGCGAUGAGCGGUCCCCACCCCUGGGUGGUCUGAGCGGUGUGCCGAGAACCCGGGGUCUGGAGGGGACGCACUCGCUUCAGCGUGUCGCGUCCCAGACCAGGCACCGAGAAGAGAGCGGGACGGGCCUCCCCGGCUUGUGGCUUGGCUCCCGCUGGCUCCGGCCCCAGAGGACACAGCC